rnacentral:lncRNA from 1 species
GCUGCCGCGCUGGUGUGCGCCCUGCCGCCUGUGUGUGGCCCGCCCCGGCCCGUGGGCCUGCGCUCUGGCUGAUCGGAACAGUUCAAGACUACUCUCCCGAUGCUGCUUGGACUGGAACAGGGUCACAGGCUCCAUGUGCUCAGCUGGUGAUGCAACUGUGGACGAGAGCCAAGCUCUCCUGCAGAAAGAGACGGUGAUGUCAACUCUAUCCCUCCGGUCAGCUCCAGAGCACCCACCACAUCUUGGGCUGGACAGCGAAUCACAUGCCAGGGGAGGCUGGGCCUGCUUUGCAGGGGCAGGAUGUGUGCAGUGGAUGCAUGCCCAAGAUGUGUGCUCACAGGCCUCUCCUGCCCCACGAGGCUGCCACAAGGCUGUUCUUGGCCUAUCGCUGAGGAAAACACAGUGUCCUGCCUCUGGAUGAAGGUGUUCUGCUUGUUGCAGGCCUUCCAGGAUGUGGAUCACUUUCAACAGAUUCUAGACCAUCUUUGAAGCAUUUGUGCCACACUUUUAUUUGCGUUGCACUCAUUGCAUCAUCCUCAAAACCCUUUGAAAUCAUCCAAAUAGCUUCCUCAGAAGAAUGCUCAAGCUUAAUGCAAAAAUUUGAUAUGGCUGCUGUACCCGCUCAGCCAUUUUGAAUGUGACAGCCACACUGCGCACACUCCCUCAGUGGUGUCUGGCGCCCCACUGACUAGCACGGAGAAGGCAUCGUUGUUCACGCAUGCGCAUCCCGGUCCACUCGCCUUGCGGCCCAGGUUAUAUCGAUUUCAAGCAGACCGUUCUUGUUAUGUUAACAAUGGCUGGAUACUUUCUGACAGACCUCGUCUAUAGGUG